rnacentral:rRNA from 1 species
CGCGUGAGUAACCUGCCUUGGAGUGGGGAAUAACAGCUGGAAACAGCUGCUAAUACCGCAUAAUAUGUCUGUGUCGCAUGGCACUGGACAUCAAAGAUUUAUCGCUCUGAGAUGGACUCGCGUCUGAUUAGCUAGUUGGCGGGGUAACGGCCCACCAAGGCGACGAUCAGUAGCCGGACUGAGAGGUUGGCCGGCCACAUUGGGACUGAGACACGGCCCAGACUCCUACGGGAGGCAGCAGUGGGGAAUAUUGGGCAAUGGGCGCAAGCCUGACCCAGCAACGCCGCGUGAAGGAAGAAGGCUUUCGGGUUGUAAACUUCUUUUCUCAGGGACGAAGCAAGUGACGGUACCUGAGGAAUAAGCCACGGCUAACUACGUGCCAGCAGCCGCGGUAAUACGUAGGUGGCAAGCGUUAUCCGGAUUUACUGGGUGUAAAGGGCGUGUAGGCGGGACUGCAAGUCAGAUGUGAAAACCACGGGCUCAACCUGUGGCCUGCAUUUGAAACUGUAGUUCUUGAAUACUGGAGAGGCAGACGGAAUUCCUAGUGUAGCGGUGAAAUGCGUAGAUAUUAGGAGGAACACCAGUGGCGAAGGCGGUCUGCUGGACAGCAACUGACGCUGAGGCGCGAAAGCGUGGGGAGCAAACAGGAUUAGAUACCCUGAUAGUCCACGCUGUAAACGAUGGAUACUAGGUGU